GUUUGUGUGUACAUGUAUAUGUAUAUAUACACCCACACAUACAUGUAUGUGUAUGUGUAUAUGUUAUUUCUGCAUCACGUCUCCAUAAAUGUAUAUUCUUA
rnacentral:miRNA from 1 species